rnacentral:rRNA from 1 species
GGAACCCACUAUCUUUAGUCGGAUAGUAUCCUUACGUGAAUACAUAGCGUGAGGAAGGCAGACCCAGGGAACUGAAACAUCUAAGUACCUGGAGGAAGAGAAAGAAAAAUCGAUUUCCUGAGUAGCGGCGAGCGAAACGGAAAGAGCCCAAACCAAGAAGCUUGCUUCUUGGGGUUGUAGGACACUCUAUACGGAGUUACAAAAGAAAGUUAUAAAUGAAGCGGUCUGGAAAGGCCCGCCAAAGACGGUAACAGCCCGGUAGUUGAAAUGGCUUUCCCUCCAGAGUGGAUCCUGAGUACGGCGGAACACGUGAAAUUCCGUCGGAAUCCGGGAGGACCAUCUCCCAAGGCUAAAUACUCCCUAGUGACCGAUAGUGAACCAGUACCGUGAGGGAAAGGUGAAAAGCACCCCGGAAGGGGAGUGAAACAGUUCCUGAAACCGUGUGCCUACAAGUAGUUAGAGCCCGUUAAUGGGUGAUAGCGUGCCUUUUGUAGAAUGAACCGGCGAGUUACGAUUUGUUGCAAGGUUAAGCGGAAAAAGCGGAGCCGUAGCGAAAGCGAGUCUGAAUAGGGCGCAUAAGUAACAGGUCGUAGACCCGAAACCAGGUGAUCUACCCAUGUCCAGGAUGAAGGUAAGGUAAUACUUACUGGAGGUCCGAACCCACGCACGUUGAAAAGUGCGGGGAUGAGGUGUGGGUAGCGGAGAAAUUCCAAUCGAACUUGGAGAUAGCUGGUUCUCUCCGAAAUAGCUUUAGGGCUAGCCUCGAGGUAAAGAGUCAUGGAGGUAGAGCACUGUUUGGACUAGGGGCCCUUCUCGGGUUACCGAAUUCAGAUAAACUCCGAAUGCCAUGUACUUAUACUCGGGAGUCAGACUGCGAGUGAUAAGAUCCGUAGUCGAAAGGGAAACAGCCCAGACCACCAGUUAAGGUCCCCAAAUAUAUGUUAAGUGGAAAAGGAUGUGGGGUUGCUUAGACAACCAGGAUGUUGGCUUAGAAGCAGCCACCAUUGAAAGAGUGCGUAAUAGCUCACUGGUCGAGUGACCCCGCGCCGAAAAUGUACCGGGGCUAAACAUAUUACCGAAACUGUGGAUGAACCUCUUCGGAGGUUCGUGGUAGGAGAGCGUUCUAAGGGCGGUGAAGUCAGACCGGAAGGACUGGUGGAGCGCUUAGAAGUGAGAAUGCCGGUAUGAGUAGCGAAAGAAGGGUGAGAAUCCCUUCCACCGAAUAUCUAAGGUUUCCUGAGGAAGGCUCGUCCGCUCAGGGUUAGUCGGGACCUAAGCCGAGGCCGAUAGGCGUAGGCGAUGGACAACAGGUAGAGAUUCCUGUACCAGUGCUAAUUGUUUAACCGAUGGGGUGACACAGAAGGAUAGGGAAUCGCACGAAUGGAAAUGUGCGUCCAAGCAGUGAGUGUGA